UGCUUGAAAUUUCACUUUAACCUUAGAUUAUAUGUGAGUUUUGUAUCUUAAUGUUCAUUAGGCAGUAAUUCGAAUUAAAAAUCAAGUUAUCUUGGAAUUAGUAAUGGUUUAAGUAUUGGCAAAUUUUGUGCCAGCAGCUGCGGUUAUACAAUUAAUACAAGUGAAAUGGUUUAGUAUACAGUUAAUAUUUAUUUGAAGGAGUUUAUAUUAUUUUUCUAGGUAAAAUUUAAAUUUUAUUACUUUCCUGGUUUUAAUGAAGCUGUGAAAUUCAAUUAAUAAACUAGGAUUAGAUACCCUAUUAUUUUGAAUGUAAAUUAAUUAACUCGAGUAGUAUUAGCUAAGUUCUUGAAACUCAAAGAAUUUGGCGGUAUUUUAUUCUUCCCAGAGGAACCUGCCCUUUAAUUGAUAGUUCACGAUUGACUAUACUUAAUUUAUUUGCUUGUAUAUCUCCGUUAUAAGAAUAUCUUUUUAGAGUUAAAAUUUUCUUAAUUUUAGAUUGGAUAGUAUUUCAGGUCAAGGUGCAGUUUAUGGUUGAGUAGGAGGUGGGUUACAUUAAAAUUUAUUUAUACGGUUUUUCUUAUGAAAUAUAAGGAAUUAAGGUGGAUUUGUUAGUAAAUUGAAUAUUAUUAUUUAAUUGAUUUAGCUCUAAAAUGUGUACACAUCGCCCGUCGCUCUCAUUAUUGAAAGGUUGAGUUUAAUUGAGUUCAAUUUAAAUGAGAUAAGUCGUAACAUAGUAGAUGUACUGGAAAGUGUAUCUAGAAAGU
rnacentral:ncRNA from 1 species